rnacentral:rRNA from 1 species
AUUGAACGCUGGCGGAAUGCUUUACACAUGCAAGUCGAGCGGCAGCACGGGGGCAACCCUGGUGGCGAGCGGCGCACGGGUGAGUAAUACAUCGGAACAUGCCCAGUCGUGGGGGAUAACACUUCGAAAGAAGUGCUAAUACCGCAUACGUCCUGAGGGGGAAAGCGGGGGAUCGCAAGACCUCGCGCGAUUGGAGUGGCCGAUGUCAGAUUAGCUAGUUGGUGGGGUAAAGGCCUACCAAGGCAACGAUCUGUAGCUGGUCUGAGAGGAUGAUCAGCCACACUGGGACUGAGACACGGCCCAGACUCCUACGGGAGGCAGCAGUGGGGAAUUUUGGACAAUGGGGGCAACCCUGAUCCAGCCAUUCCGCGUGAGUGAAGAAGGCCUUCGGGUUGUAAAGCUCUUUCGGCAGGAACGAAACGGUGAGCUCUAACAUAGCUUGCUAAUGACGGUACCUGAAGAAGAAGCACCGGCUAACUACGUG